ensembl:lncRNA
CACACACAUACACAUACACAUCAACUCUCCCCUGCCCCCCCUUUCCGAAUUAAAAGUCGCCUUUUGUGCGGAUCUGGUUUCCCAGGCCUGUGCGCCCACAAGGGUCCUUCGGGUUCAAAACCCUGACUCGGGCCUGCGACAACACUGUAAAAAAAAAAAAAACAGCCCUCUUACAGAGAAGAGCAGUGAGAUAUCGGCUCAGUGCGAGCACGAAGCCUGAACAAACAGACCGCUGGAGGGGAAAUGGGGCUUGUACAAACUCAGUGACAUUACACAGUGGCCUUGAGAUUAUCUCCAGUGAAAAUGAGAUGCUAAACGAGAGCCACGGUUCGAGAAAAAGACGAGCUGAAGAACCUCUGCUGAGUCAUAGUGCUUCUGUAAUUUACUAAGGUCACGCGGCGUCAAACGAGCAGGAUUCCGACUCCGAAAAGACACUCUGACCUUGACGUUCUCCUGUUUCUCGUCUUCUAAAACCAGACCGAGGCUCACAAUAUCUUCCUAGCGCACCAGUUCUGAGCUUUAGCGUCUCAUAUAACAAUGCCCGGCUUUGGUCUCUUCUCGGAGGACGAGAGAUCAUUUUGUCGGGGAGCGACCUCAGAGGCGGCAUUCCGCCCACGUUUAUGCCGCUGUUUCGGCUUCGCGUCUCUCUGGGUUACGAAUCCAAGUCGUUUAAUGAACGGUGUUUUCUCUCAACACGAAUCCACACACAUCGGCGUACGGAAGGACGACUCGGAGAACUCGGGAGACACGGGACAGAUUUGGAUUCCCUUAAAAUAGGACGCUAAACCUGUGGCGUGUUCUUCCGAAAACAACAAGUCGAUGACACCAAGACGUCGAUCUAGGGAAAAAUCAAGUCCCGAGAAAGUUAUACACGAUGCCUGACGGUUAUAACGUUAUUUGUCGUGAUUUAUAAUCAGACCAGACAAUAAUUCCCAGCUAGGUCCUGGGUUAGCCUUACAUAUUUUCAUUUCUCAGACACGUCGGUUAAUUAGCUGUUUUGUUGGACCAGGAAUGUUAGGAGAACGGAUACUCCAGAACCGGGUUUAGGAACCACUGCGUCAGUUUUGACUUUAAAUGUAGGUUUGUGUUUUAGAAGGUUCACUCAUUGGUUUUCAGUAAGCGCUUUAUCCUGGUCAUUGUCCUGGAUCCAGAGUCUAUCCCAGGAACUCCGGCGAGGUGGGAAUAAAUCAUGGAUGGGACGUUCUCUGGAAGAUAAAAGUCUGGAUUUGGUAGAGUUAUGGAUUCACUGGAGAACAAACAGAAACAACAUUGUUACAUACAUCAGUCUUGGGGGGGAAAACAACGGUGUUCCUUCGAUACACAGAGGUGGGAAAUAAUCAUUACACUGCGACUAUACUUAAGUCCGGUUUUUCCGAACGUAUCUCACCUUCUACGUUUCAGUAGAAAACAAAAAUCAUACAUUAAUAUCUUUCAAACACGACAUCCCUGCAUGUCUCUAUAAUCAUAUAUGUGUAAAGAUUUAAGCUGACGUUUUUUGAUUGGAAAGCAGCAAUCAUGUGACCGAGAGAAUGAGAACUAACACCCGACACGGUAAUCUAUCUGCUUCUGCGUACGCUUUGUAUAGAGUUAAUAUUAUCCUAGCUAACAUUUGAGAGGUUGUAGUUGGUUCGUUAGCUUUAGAUACCGUCUUCCCACGUUCCUCGGUUCUGAAACGAAUCAGACUGAAGGCAAGCGUCGUCUCCUUCUGGGAUUCUUCCUGCUUCCGAUUUCCCUUCCUUUGAAGACUUGAGGAAAAUAUAAGCGUUUUCUACUUUGACUGAAGACUCUGAUGCUGUAUUUCAGCUUUUAGCUGAGGAUUUGUUUACGUAAGUCGCACUUUUACUUGAGCAAAGAAUUUGGAGACUUGUAUCAACACGAGCCGCGAAUAUCGGAUCGCUGGUUUAUAUAAAGUCUGAGACACGUGAUAGCGGCGGUGGUGUUAGCUUUAGCAGAAGGAGACGUUAGACUUGGCUCGCAGCCUGCCAAAGCGCAAACAAGUUCGGACGGUUGCUGAUUCACGGUGCUAACUCAGCGUCUGCAAUUCAUCGAGGUUAGAACUACGCGGCGUUAAAUGAGCAGGACCGGGUAAUUAAUUAUAAUUGAUUAUAAUUGAAAUCUCGACACUCCCCGGUUUGUUGUCUUUGAAGUCGUUUACGCAGUCGUCCGAGUUAGCUCGACGUAUGCUGGCGUUGGAAAGGGCUACUCCCAAAACGCCCACAGAAAACCAGAUUCUGUGAUCUUCCAGAUCAUGUCGUAUAGCACAGAGCUUCGCUUUUGUAGGUUUUCGCAGGAUAAGAGAUCAUUUCGUUGGUUUCACAGGCACACUGGAGCGGCUGCGGAGAUGGCGUCCGCCCACGUUUAGCUGUCUUAGCUGCAAAUCCAACUCACUUAAUGUUGUGGUCCCUUUUUACAGAUUUUAAAGAUGCAGUCUAUGAGCUGUUGGGAAUGAGGCUGUGAGACGUGUUUCACGCGAUUUCUCCCCAGGAAUUUGGUUUGAGUAAUGCACAGACCGGGAGAUGUGUGUGGCGUUAAUAGGAGCGGGCUGGUGAGGGACAGCGCGACUGCCUAAGCCCCUCUGCUUUGUUCCCACAUUGCAAGGUUAACGAUUUUCCGUCCUGGGUGGCUGAAUUAGAAUUCAGCUCCCGUCCUCGGCACUGAGACGCUGUCUGCUGCCUUCCCAGCAGCCCCGGCGCACAGUGACAGGGAGAUGGAUGAUAUCUGCAGCAUGGGCCGCUCGGCUCGGGAGGAGGGGGAGAGGGUGCAUUGAGUGCACUCUCUCUCUCUCUCUCUCUCUCUCUCUCUUACACACACACUUUUACACACACAUACACACACACCCCCAAGUUGUGCACACAACCAGACAGUCACAUAUAUGACAGCACAUACACAUGCACACUGUCAUGCACACAUGAAAGCACACACACACACACACACACACACACACACACACACACACACACACAGAUGCAAGGACACAAAGCAUAACGGACAGUCAUGCAUUUUGAUGUAGAUGCAUGUGCACACAUGACAGUGUGGACACACACACACACACACACAAAUGAUAUACAUGACACAUUUGUAUGCAGAUAUACAUCUGAGGCAGGUGCACACAUACACACACACACACACACACAAGUUGGGACAUGCAAACAAUUAAGCACACACUGAGCAAUACAGUGCAGUACAGACUGUAACACACUCACACUAUUAUAAUAUACAAUUAUGCACACAAAAAACAAACACACACACACGUUGUGACAUAAAUACAAUUAUGCACACACAGAGUACUACAGUCCCAUAUACAUUGUGUAUCAACACACACACACACACACGUAGUGUAACUUUAAAAUCCAUUUACGUGCCUUUAUUUAAAGGUACACCAUAUCAACAUUUCUAGGUGAAAGAUACAAACUAUUAGCGUCACCACACCACCAACAUACAGGAAAGGUACGGUUCGGUAUCCCGAAUUUUCUUGCAGGGUGGCUAGUUCUCUCAAUAUCGUGCUGCUUGGCUACCUAGCAUUAGCAAGUAACAUAACGAGGUUCAAAGUUCAGAAGGUUCAGAAUUUCAAACGACACGGUGAAAAUGACGGGCUUUAUUGUGUGAUGUUUGGAUGUGAAGUUGAUGGACACCAGGACAUGUAGUGACACAACACGCUCAAAAUAACGAACAAUACAUCAACACAUUAGGAGAGACAGAAAAGGAUUAUUUCCAUUAUACUUUAUUGAUCAUUUUGAAAUUUCAAAGACACGUUGAAAUAUGUAUAAAUUAUUAUUUUAUUAUUUUUCUAUUUCAUAUUUAUUAGCUUUACAGUAUAAGCACAUUAUAUAUAUAUAUGGCAUUGAAUUAAAGGACCCACAGAAUAAGUUAUACUUAUUAAGUUUGUGUUAUUAUGGAAGUUAUAGGCCUCUCUGGGUGUGUGUGUGUGUGUGUGUGUGUAUGUUUCUACACAUUGUAUAUAGGACUGUAGUACUCUGUGUGUGCAUAAUUGUAUGCAUGUCCUAACAUGUGUGUGUGUGUGGGCAUGCAUUUAUAUCUUGGUCCCCACAAGGGUAAGAAUAUCCGGCAGGUUUGACCUUGCGGGGACAUUUGGCUGGUCCUCAUUGGACGGUCCUCACAAGGACACUAAGACAAAUGUGAACAGUGUAUAUAUGUGUAUAUAUAUAUAUAUAUAUAUAUGUAUGUAUGUAUGUAUGUAUGUAUGUAUGUGUGUGUGUGUGUGUGUGUGUGUGUGUGUGUCUGUGAGUCUUCUGUAUAUGCAGAACUUACCAGCUGUGCUUUCCUUACUGCACACCCUACCACGUGACUUACACACACACACACACACACACACUGCCGCAAGGGUAGCGCUACAUGACUUAUGCAUGGCCGACGUGGAAAAGCCUUUAGGUCGACCAGGAUGACUUCUGGGGAAAGUCACAGACUUCAGUUAGGAGAACGCGUCGCUUUACAUCAGGCGAUAACAUCAGCACGUAAGGUGUACCCAAACCUGUAAAAUAAAUAAACAAACAAACUAAUCAGUAGAUAAAAAGAUGGAUAGAUCAAAUCAAAUCAAGUGACUUUUACUGUCGUUUCAGCCAUCUACAGCUGGUACAGUACGCCAUGAAACAAAACAACGCUCCUCCAGGACCACGGUGAUACAUACAGCAACACAAUAACCACCUGAGACGACACAGAACUAAAUAAGACCUACACGUUUCUACAUAAAGUGUGCAGACAACAACGACUUAUAGAUAGAUAAUAGCCAGCAUCAUCACUGUUAUUAUGUGACGACAUUAUACUAUUUUAAUACGUUAUUAUCGUACUACAUAAUAAAUCUGAUUAAGCUGGACAUAAAAAAACAAAACAAAACCAGAUGCAUACGCAUUACUAUCCAUAAUUAUUAAUGAAGCGAUUUAUUGUUAGGCCCCACCAAAAUCUAACUCUAAUCUCAACCACGGGGACCAGCAAGAUGUCCCAACAAGGUCAAACCUGUGAGAUAUUCCUAUUCUCGUUUAUACGCACACACCACCGGUCAAAAGUUUGCGGACGCUCGACGGAAACGUUUCUCGUGGUCUUAAAAACCUUUUGAUCUGAAGGUGUGUGAUUAAACGUGUGAAAUCGGUGUCGUGGACAACAAAUAUAAUCAUGCAAAAACGUAUUCGUUUCUUCCAUUAGAAAACUAACGUUUCAUUUACGAAUAAAUGUUUGUUUACACGGACGACUCGGAGCGAAACGUUCCGAAAAGCAGCCGGUAAGAGUCCGGCGUCGGCGUGAACUCCUUUAAUACGGUUUAAAAAUCAUCUCGGGGAAAUUCCUCAAGAAAUCGGUCGAGAAAACGGCAAGAACGCAUUUCUGGAAGUUCUAGAAAUUCAGAAAGCGUGUCUAUUUUGAAGAUGCUAAAACACUCAAUUGUUUCGUUUUAUUUUGGAUUUUUUUAACACAACAUAAUUCCCAUAGUUCCACUUGUGCUCCUCCAGAGUUUUGAUGACUUUAUUAUUAUUCGACAAUGUGGAGAAAAAAUUUAAAUAAAGAAUGAGUGUGUGUAAACUUUUGACCAUAGUGUGUAUAUACUGAAUUAAAAACGUAUAAAUUUUUAAAUACAUGCACACACACUAAUUUUAUUUUUUUUUUUUACCUGCAUGCUGCACAAGGUGACUUCUUAACUUUCUAUUCCUGAAAAAAAAGAUGAACAGGACGUGAGUUAAUGAGACAGUAACAUGAAAAGGCAGAUCUCUCUCUCUCUCUCUCUGUGUGUGUGUGUGUUUUUUCUCUCAGAGUUCACUUGAGGAUGCAGGAAAGCAGAUGUACGAGUUUUUCCCUGCCAAAACUCUCUGUGAGCUCUAAUACAAAGGAAGACCGCAAGCUGAGUAGUGUAGGUACUUGUGUAUGUGUGUGUGCGCGCGCGUCACACUCUCUUUCCCCUCACAGAACAACUUCGCUAAAGUUCCCACGUUCAGCUGCCAAUCACACGCCGGUCACACUCGAUUUACACAACCACAAACACAGGUUUGCUCAAGGGAAGGUUUCAGCAAUAUAAUCAGUGUGUGUGUGUGUAUGAGUGAGUGUCCACAGCAGAAAGUUAAGGCUGGUACACCUUCGGCGCAUGUUGCCAAUGGCUGGUGAGUUAAAAGUGGCGCCAGCUGUAGGUCGUAUUGAAGCUGUGGCCUCUGGAAAGACCGAGCUAUGAGACACAGCCUCAUUAUCCUCUACAACGAGAGAGAAAGAGAGAGAGAGAGAGAGAGAGAGAGAGAGAGAGACAGUCGCGGUUCAAUAACUCCGACCAGAUAGCACGUUUCCCUGGCAACACCUCCGAAGCAGCUCUGCAGAGAUCCCAGAGAGAGAGAGAGAGAGAGAGAAAGAGAGAGACAGAAAGGGGGAGGGCGAACAAGGGGAAGGAAGGAAGGAAGGAAGGAAGGAAGGAGGAGACCUAGACAGCGUUGGGGUGGGAGGCAGUUCUGGGUGACACUUGUGCUCAGUACAAACAUUAAAGACUGUUAACACACACAAACAGGAGUCCAGCGGAGAACGUACACACCCAUACAUACUUUUUUUUCUUAACCAGGUAAUGUGUGUGUACAGACUUCUAAUGAUGAGUGUAUUACAUACGCUCCAUAUUUCCAUCCUUUAUGAGCCAACAGCAGAACCGUGAGACUUUGGGAAUAAAAAUGUCCCGCAUAGCGUUUGAAGCUAAUUUGAUUAGCGCUAAUAAAAUUCAAAGACCGAUGUUACAUUAUGUAUGUGUAAAGGAUACACACGAAUGGUCCAUUCUUGUGGCAUUCACGACUUCCGAAGUUGACUUGGGAAAUUUCCACUGUCACUCUGCCUUUAUACUGUGCAUAUAAGUGCAAGCUCGCUAAAUCAUUAGCGUCAGCCAUUAGAUACAACAAUGUAACACUUAGUAGUACCAGUGAAGGAGGCGUGUCCUCUUUGUCUGUAAGUACAGUGAAGGAGGUGUGUCCUCUGUGUCUAUAAGUACAGUGAAGGAGGCGUGUCCUCUGUGUCUAUAAGUACAGUGAAGGAGGCGUGUCCUCUGUGUCUAUAAGUACAGUGAAGGAGGCGUGUCCUCUUUGUCUGUAAGUACAGUGAAGGAGGUGUGUCCUCUGUGUCUAUAAGUACAGUGAAGGAGGCGUGUCCUCUUUGUCUGUAAGUACAGUGAAGGAGGUGUGUCCUCUGUGUCUAUAAGUACAGUGAAGGAGGCGUGUCCUCUUUGUCUGUAAGUACAGUGAAGGAGGCGUGUCCUCUUUGUCUGUAAGUACAGUGAAGGAGGUGUGUCCUCUUUGUAAGUACAGUGAAGGAGGUGUGUCCUCUUUGUCUGUAAAUACAGUGAAGGAGGCGUUUCCUCUUUGUCUGUAAGUACAGUGAAGGAGGCGUGUCCUGUGUCUAUAAGCACAGUGAAGGAGGCGUGCCCUCUUUGUAAGUACAGUGAAUGAGGCGUGUCCUCUUUGUCUGUAAGUACAGUGAAGGAGGCGUGUCCUCUGUGUCUAUAAGUACAGUGAAGGAGGCGUGUCCUCUGUGCUGGUUAGUCUCUGCGAAAGAGGCGUGGUCUCUGCGUCUAUCAGUACUAGCGAAGGAGGCGUGUCCUUGAACUUGAACUUACAGAAUACUGUAUCGUAUAUACAGCAGGCAGAUUUAAAAGUGUUUUUCACACUUCGGAUUGUGACCACAUCACACACUGAACACUAAAGAACACUAACUCCCAACGCUAUCGGCAACGCCCACUGCAGAGCUUCCGUAAAUGAAUCCCAGCGUUUCAGCGUAAGCCCAGCAUGCAUUUAAUGGUUGAGUGACUAUAACGGAGACUGCGACGACAAAAAUCUGUGAACAUGGAGCGAAUGUUUGACUUUGGAUUGGGACGGAGUCUAAUUCUGAUUAGAAUACGCAGGUGACUGUCUGGCCUCCCACUGCAGUGUCUGGAAACUCAGACAUAAGACUCCCCACCCGCUCCCCCCUCCUGCGUGUGCAACACACA